rnacentral:sRNA from 1 species
AUUAUAAAACUACACCUCUGCCUUUAUUGUUAUUAUGGCUGAUAAAUUUAUAUGUUCUUCUUCUAUUUUGACAUCUGUUUAUUAAUUGUUUUUUCUAAUUUUUCUCCUCUCCAUUUCAUUUGUUUUUCUCAACACUUCUUUGAAAUUUAAGUACCUCUCAUAAGUCUUCAGUGAAACUUAUGAUUUCACUAUUUUUAAAAAGGUAGUAAUUUAAGUAGUUAAAUUACUUAACUAUUUAAAAUACUUAAAUUAAUUAUAUAACCUAUGAAAGAAAUCAACAUUGCUGACAUAAGUACUUUGAGCAAAGCAACAUUAGGUGUUUUUCUUGUGCUUUACUUACUUUUCUAAUAAGCCAUGUAGUUAGUUGAUAGAUGUGUUAGUUUGAGCAGAAGCAAUAGCACAUAUUUACCAUAACCCCCUUAGAGGUGAGAAUGUCUACAUCCAUAAUGCAUCUAUUCUUGGAAUGUUAGUGUAUAUGUUGCUUUAAAGACUGUAUUUUCCUAUUUUAAAUUAAAGGAGGCUAACAUCAUUUUUAUAAGGGUACAAGUUUCUCUUCAUUUCUUUUUAUUUUGUCCCCUUCCCCAACUUUCUUAACCUCAAUCAGUGGGAAUUUGAUGAUGCUACUGAACAUGACAUGAUCAUCUCUGGGCUACAGCCUGAAACUUCAUACUCCCUCACCGUCACAGCUUACACCACCAAGGGAGAUGGUGCUCGAAGCAA